UACGGAUAUCCACACAAGAUCUAAUCUGAUCGAAGGCUGUUUGAUCUUUUUGAGGUACUAGCUUCCUUACAGAGAUCGCUUCCUUAAUAGUUGAUUAGGAUCUUCUUCUAUCUCUAAGAUUCUCUUAAAGAAGAAGAAGACUAGGAGGAAGAAGAUGAGGAAGAAGAAACUAUGAGAAUCCUUUCUCUUUUUCUCUUCUCUCUUCUCUCUAAAAUCCAACACCCAAGAAAAAACCCAUGCCCUA
rnacentral:lncRNA from 1 species